GACAGUUCUACAGAGCCAAUGCAUCAAGUACCUUGGACUGGUUAGUUCCAAACCUUCUCCUAACUCCAUUCAUAUUCACUGCAUAAUCAAAUUUAUACAUAUAUCUGAUUGUGAUAUAUUUAAUGUGUUUGAAUAUUUCAGAAAGAAAGAAAAGCCUAUGAAGUAGUAGUCAAAUAUCUAUGUAGUAGUAGUCAAAGAUGGGAAGCUAAUAUUUAAGUUAAUAUAUACUGAUUCAUUUCUGAAAUUCUGCAAUCUAUCAAAACAAAAACCUCUGUUCUUUCUUUCUUUUGUUAAUUAAACAUCAUCAGAGUUAAAUUCUGCAUAUUACUUUGGGCUCAGUUUCUCCAGAGUUUGGGAAUUAGCACAAUUUUUUUGUUUUCUGGAAUAGAGGCUGUAUUAGUUUUACCUACGUCGUUUGUUUCUUUGUUUUGUGUGUUUUGCUGGUUGUUUGUUAAAAAAUUGUUGGGCUAUUGGAAUGUAUGCUAGGGACACUUAACCACAGCUUUGUACAGUUAUAAGUUCCUUAAUCGAAUCAAAUGAAAGACAGAUGGUGAGGCACUUUAAAGCACAAAAAACAAUUGAUUCGAUUAAGGACAACCUCUAUAAGAUGUUAAGGCACAGCCUCUAUAAAAUGAGAGACAGAUGGUAAAGUUGUUAUAAGUUCCUUAAUCAAAUCAAUUUUUCUGUACUUUGAACACUCAUUCCAUCGUUGUGGUUUUUGUCUACAAAGUCAUUGACUAGAAAUUCAAAGGACAAGCCAUUUCUAAGGGGAGCUCUGAGAGGAAUUUCGACAGCAAGCAUGCUCUAUACAUUAUACACAGAUCGCAAUUCACCAACUUUAUAUCACUCUACCUUUCAUAUUCUUAGAUUAUAAUUUUGCUAUCAGCGUAAUAUUGUAAUCUAUAUCUACUGUUGCAAAGCCAUUUAGUGUCUUAGUUGUCGCAAUCUUUUUGUCAUCAUACUUCUUUUGAAAUUGAAACCUUAAAAAUAUCUUUUGAAUAUUAUUUCUUUUGUCAGGAAGGUUUCUUAUCUACUAUUGGGACCUUGAAAUGGGUAAACCAUAUCAUUUCUCUUAUCUCAGGUGCUGGUGGCAUUCAAGCUCUCAUGAAAAGCAAUCAGAGAAAAUUAGCCGAAGAAGAUGAGUCAAUACCGAUGGCCUUGGAAAUCCCUUGCACCAUCAUCAGGGAUGGUUUUGUUACAAAACUCUCAACGUGAAAUUCAAGGCUUUAACUUUGAAAAGGUUGAAACUGAAUUUGAACAACAAUGGGCAGAUGGUAAGGCAGAAGAAUGGAAAAAUGCGAUUCACAAUGGUGAACAUGUUCGGAAUUAGCAGACUAUUGUUCAUCUUCAUCACUAUUUUAGCAUAGUAGAAGAUAAAAAGUUAAAAGAGUUAAUCGUGAUAUUAGAAACUUAAAUAUAAGUGAAUAACUACUUUUAAAAGCUCAAAAUCAGUAACAGGUUUGAAAGUGAUGAGAUAAUUGAUUC